rnacentral:rRNA from 1 species
UACGAGGGGGGCAAGCGUUGUUCGGAAUUAUUGGGCGUAAAGGGUGCGUAGGCGGUCUGACAAGUCUGAUGUGAAAUCUCUGGGCUCAACCCAUAGUCUGCAUCGGAAACUGUCGGGCUGGAGUAUGGGAGAGGUGAGUGGAAUUUCCGGUGUAGCGGUGAAAUGCGUAGAUAUCGGAAGGAACACCUGUGGCGAAAGCAGCUCACUGGACCAUUACUGACGCUGAUGCACGAAAGCUAGGGGAGCAAACAGG